UACGUAGGGGGCAAGCGUUGUCCGGAAUUAUUGGGCGUAAAGAGCUUGUAGGCGGUUUGUCGCGUCUGCUGUGAAAUUUCGGGGCUCAACCCCGAACUUGCAGUGGGUACGGGCAGACUAGAGUGUGGUAGGGGAGACUGGAAUUCCUGGUGUAGCGGUGAAAUGCGCAGAUAUCAGGAGGAACACCGAUGGCGAAGGCAGGUCUCUGGGCCAUAACUGACGCUGAGAAGCGAAAGCAUGGGGAGCGAACAGG
rnacentral:rRNA from 1 species